UCUGUAUUGGGACCAUUCCUUUGCAACAUAUUCAUAAAGGAUCUGGAAAAAGAGGUAAACAGUGAGGUGGCAAAAUUUGCGGAUGAUACAAAACUACUCAAGGUAGUUAAGUCG